ACAUGCAAGUCGAGGGGCAGCAUGAUUGAAGCUUGCUUCAAUUGAUGGCGACCGGCGCACGGGUGAGUAACGCGUAUCCAACCUUCCGUACACUCAGGGAUAGCCUUUCGAAAGAAAGAUUAAUACCUGAUGGUAUGAUGAGAUUGCAUGAUAGCAUCAUUAAAGAUUUAUCGGUGUACGAUGGGGAUGCGUUCCAUUAGGUAGUAGGCGGGGUAACGGCCCACCUAGCCUACGAUGGAUAGGGGUUCUGAGAGGAAGGUCCCCCACAUUGGAACUGAGACACGGUCCAAACUCCUACGGGAGGCAGCAGUGAGGAAUAUUGGUCAAUGGACGAGAGUCUGAACCAGCCAAGUAGCGUGAAGGAUGAAGGUCUUACGGAUUGUAAACUUCUUUUAUAAGGGAAUAAAACCUCCCACGUGUGGGAGCUUGUAUGUACCUUAUGAAUAAGCAUCGGCUAACUCCGUGCCAGCAGCCGCGGUAAUACGGAGGAUGCGAGCGUUAUCCGGAUUUAUUGGGUUUAAAGGGAGCGCAGACGGGUCGUUAAGUCAGCUGUGAAAGUUUGGGGCUCAACCUUAAAAUUGCAGUUGAUACUGGCGUCCUUGAGUGCGGUUGAGGUGUGCGGAAUUCGUGGUGUAGCGGUGAAACGCUUAGAUAUCACGAAGAACUCCGAUUGCGAAGGCAGCACACUAAGCCGUAACUGACGUUCAUGCCCGAAAGUGUGGGUAUCAAACAGGAUUAGAUACCCUGGUAGUCCACACGGUAAACGAUGGAUACUCGCUGUUGGCGAUAUACGGUCAGCGGCUUAGCGAAAGCGUUAAGUAUCCCACCUGGGGAGUACGCCGGCACGGUGAAACUCAGAGGAAUUGACGGGGGCCCG
rnacentral:rRNA from 1 species